rnacentral:rRNA from 1 species
GAUGAACGCUGGCGGCGUGCCUAAUACAUGCAAGUCGAGCGAACGGACGAGAAGCUUGCUUCUCUGAUGUUAGCGGCGGACGGGUGAGUAACACGUGGAUAACCUACCUAUAAGACUGGGAUAACUUCGGGAAACCGGAGCUAAUACCGGAUGAUAUUUUGAACCGCAUGGUUCAAAAGUGAAAGACGGUCUUGCUGUCACUUAUAGAUGGAUCCGCGCUGCAUUAGCUAGUUGGUAAGGUAACGGCUUACCAAGGCAACGAUGCAUAGCCGACCUGAGAGGGUGAUCGGCCACACUGGAACUGGGACACGGUCCAGACUCCUACGGGAGGCAGCAGUAGGGAAUCUUCCGCAAUGGGCGAAAGCCUGACGGAGCAACGCCGCGUGAGUGAUGAAGGUCUUCGGAUCGUAAAACUCUGUUAUUAGGGAAGAACAUAUGUGUAAGUAACUGCGCACAUCUUGACGGUACCUAAUCAGAAAGCCACGGCUAACUACGUG